rnacentral:rRNA from 1 species
UACAGAGGGUGCGAGCGUUAAUCGGAAUUACUGGGCGUAAAGCGCGCGUAGGCGGCUUUGCAAGUCGAUUGUGAAAUCCCCAGGCUUAACCUGGGAACUGCAUUCGAGACUGCAUAGCUAGAGUAUGGGAGAGGGAAGUGGAAUUUCAGGUGUAGCGGUGAAAUGCGUAGAUAUCUGAAGGAACAUCAGUGGCGAAAGCGACUUCCUGGACCAAUCUGACGCUCAAUGUGCGAAAGCGUGGGGAGCAAACAGGG